CCCAAAGCUGAAGUUCUAUUUAAACUAUUCCCUG
rnacentral:ncRNA from 2 species